ACAUCACGUUGAAACACCGUUUCCCCCACGAUCUCCGAAGUUAAGCAACAUCGAGCUUGGUCAGUAGCUAGAUGUGUGAGGGCUUGGGAAUACCAGUAGCU